rnacentral:rRNA from 1 species
AGUGAACGCUGGCGGCAGGCCUAACACAUGCAAGUCGAACGGCAACACAGUAAGAGCUUGCUCUUACGGGUGGCGAGUGGCGGACGGGUGAGGAAUACAUCGGAAUCUACUUUUUCGUGGGGGAUAACGUAGGGAAACUUACGCUAAUACAGCAUAUGAUCUACGGGUGAAAGCAGGGGAUCUUCGGGCCUUGCGCGAUUGAAUGAGCCGAUGUCGGAUUAGCUAGUUGGCGGGGUAAAGGCCUACCAAGGCGACGAUCCGUAGCUGGUCUGAGAGGAUGAUCGGCCACACUGGAACUGAGACACGGUCCAGACUCCUACGGGAGGCAGCAGUGGGGAAUAUUGGGCAAUGGGCGCAAGCCUGAUCCAGUCAUACCGCGUGUGUGAAGAAGGCCUUCGGGUUGUAAAGCCCUUUUGUUGGGAAAGAAAAGCAGCAGGUUAAUACCCCGCUGUUCUGACGGUACCCAAAGAAUAAGCACCGGCUAACUACGCG